rnacentral:rRNA from 1 species
GUCGCAAGACCAAAGUGGGGGACCUUCGGGCCUCAUGCCAUCAGAUGUGCCCAGAUGGGAUUAGCUAGUAGGUGGGGUAACGGCUCACCUAGGCGACGAUCCCUAGCUGGUCUGAGAGGAUGACCAGCCACACUGGAACUGAGACACGGUCCAGACUCCUACGGGAGGCAGCAGUGGGGAAUAUUGCACAAUGGGCGCAAGCCUGAUGCAGCCAUGCCGCGUGUGUGAAGAAGGCCUUCGGGUUGUAAAGCACUUUCAGCGGGGAGGAAGGCGUUAAGGUUAAUAACCUUG